CCUACGGGAGGCAGCAGUGAGGAAUAUUGGUCAAUGGGCGCGAGCCUGAACCAGCCAAGUCUCGUGAGGGAAGACGGCCCUACGGGUUGUAAACCUCUUUUUCCGGGGAGCAACUGGCGCCACUUGUGGCGCCACUGAUAGUACCCGGAGAAAAAGCAUCGGCUAACUCCUUGCCAGCAGCCGCGGUAAUACGGAGGAUGCGAGCGUUCUCCGGAUUUAUUGGGGUUAAGGGGUGCGUAGGCGGAGCGUUAAGUCAGUGGUCAAAUUGAGGGGCUCAACCCCUUCCCGCCAUUGAAACUGGCGCUCUUGAGUGGAAGAGAAGUAGGCGGAAUGCGUGGUGUAGCGGUGAAAUGCAUAGAUAUCACGCAGAACCCCGAUUGCGAAGGCAGCAUGCCGGCUUCCUACUGACGCUGAAGCACGAAAGCGUGGGGAUCGAACAGGAUUAGAUACCCUAGUAGUC
rnacentral:rRNA from 1 species